AGGAUGGAGUUUGUCUUUAAGUGAACAGCAUUUGGUCUUCCUCUGUGCAAGGACCUGAACAUCCUUGGAGAUGGAAAGCUGAUGGACACAACGUCCUGUUCCUUGUCUGAUGAUGACCUCCACACCUGGUUGGCAGGACACACUCACAUGCUGUGGUAAACUCAUCAUUGAUCUCUCAGGAUCGCAUUGGAAGCUGCCGAUGUUGCUGUGGUGAUACGGUCCACAUCUUGUCCCUGUGCUGCAGGCACAGCCCCAUGUAACCAUUCGGUGGGGCUUCUUUAUCAAAGCACAUGUUGCAGUGACUUAAACAAGAUGGAGCCAUUACAUGUUUGGUGCACAGACAGACUGCAGACUUGGCAUAGACCCGGGACCCAGGGGAUCCAGGAGUCUGUUGAUGAGUUGGUGUUUUGUAGACCAAAAUUGAAGGGAAGGUUGGUGUGGAGUCAGGUGUCAAAUCCAUCUUCUAUUCAGGUGAGUAAACCUCAUGAAUGUUAUUCCAAACAUCUGCAGUUAAAUCAACUCUCUCACAAUUGCAGUUGUCAGUGCUAUUAAAAAUACACACAAUAUAGCUGAUAGUCAAUUACAGCCUCAGUAAUUAUGAUAAGAACAUGUACAUAAAUGUUGUAGAACAGAUUUACUUGCUCUCUCAUUGAACCCAUGGUGCCAGAUCUUCAGCAUUCUGUUUCGUUUUCAAUGCCUUCAACACCAAAAGCCAAUUGGCAUUGGACCUGACACUUAUAUAAUUGGUAUAAACCCUGAUUUAUUCUGGUGUUGUAGGGCCCCUUCCUGACCUGGGUGUGGUGCCUGUUGGGGACAAAUUGAGAGACAUUUGGAUACAGCGAGGGAUUUGAAAAUAUUCUUUAUGGACUUUAGUAACUCACCAUGAGUUACUAAAGAGUCCUAUUUAAAUUUGGAACUGUGCCCUUUGGAUCUGUUUUGUUAUACCAGUGCCCUCUUGAGGCUACUAGGGAAACUAUGAAACAUCCAAAUGCCCCAGAAUUCCUCAGCUUCCUAUUGAGUUCAUGCCUGACUUGGGGCAGCAGUGCUACUUUGAGAGCAUAAAGGUGUCUCAUGAUCUCUCUGAAACCAGGGAACAGUCUGACAGUCCCUUGUGGAUCCAGGUACGACCACCAAGACUGCCUGCCAGCCGGUUCAGGGAGGUAAGUAAGUGGUAAGUCCUCCGCAAAAAUCCCUAUCAGCCCUCAUUCUUAAUUAAAGGAACGCCCCACACUCUGGUGUUGAAAACAGCCUGAGAAAAUAAAAUGGUUUUCUGAUAUGUGUAUUGUGUCUGUUUAUCCGUGUGGGCUCAUUGUGCAUCCCGAUGCACCUCAGCUUGGUGCCCGCCCAGAUAGUAAAGUUUUUGACCCAGCUGAAAUCUCACUAUUUGGACUAGUGGAAGUGAAAUGCUGCAAUACUGACUCGGUUGCUGAGGUUAAGCACCUAACACCAGCCAGAGGUAUGACUUUGUAACUGACACACACACAGAUUUCCCAGUGCAGAGGGUCUGGAGGGAUGAGGACACCGUCCACCAAAUGAGGCAGCAGCUUGAUGUUCUAUUACAACAACUACUGUACAUGGAUAUGUUUUUCAAGUCCAGGCAUUGAGUAGGAUAUGUGCUAUCUGACUUGUGAGAAUGGGGACAAGAUUAAACCUAGUUCUGGCCUCUCCUUGACUAUGUUGGUAAUCUAGAUGUACAAACUAGUUUGUUAGACAAAUGUUUAUUCAUCACUCAAACUUGCUGCAUAUUGCUACGGCUUGUUAUUGUACUCAUGUUCUUUAUGGAAUCUUUUCUGUAAGAGGGAAGCAAUCUUCUUAUUCUCCAUUCUAUGCAGUUCAUGAAUUGUUGAGUGUAAAGUAAUCUCAAAGAUUUUCAUUUAAAGAAAAGUCUGUUAGUCACUAUGCAUCGCCAAAGGAGGUAGCACAAUGCUGAUGGAGCCUAUGGCCCACUGAUGAAUGUAUUGCAAUAUUUAUUUAUUAGUUGUACGUCAAACCAGGUGUCUCUUAUCAUUGUACACACACAAAAUGGAACUAUUCACAUAAUUCUGGAAACUUAAAGCAAAUUUAUCGACAAAAAGACUCCAGACUGCUGAACUCUGAGCACAAUUCCUUUGUUUCACUCAAAUAGAAAUUCUAUAUCAACCAGGACUGAAAAUGGUCAGGAUUGCCACUUUAAAAUCACAACUUGAGAAAUUAGAUGGUUUAACCAUUGAAAUGUUGGCAUAUCUCUGUAAAUGUAUGAAUACAUAUAUAAUGUAUUUGUUUUCAUGCUGCACUUAAUAGUUGUUGUUGUACUUGACACAUGCAGAUUAAAUUAAAUUAAAAAGUAGGAAUUUGUGAUGCCAGUGUCUGUGUCUCUUUUCCUUAAAUUAAAAUUAAAAUGCCACUGACAGCAUAUCCUCAGUUAAAAACCCUUUGUCAGCCUGGACUCCAUCUCCAAAAUUUUAGUAUUGUUGACUCUCACUGGGAGGCCUUAAACUGACCAGGUGGAGGCAAUAAAGCAUAGUCAUGGUCAGGGUAAGGGGCGGCAGCUGCACCGCCUGAGGUAACAUUCUCCUGACAUUCUCCUGACUUUUGGGCUUUUUUCCCAGUCAUUCCAGACAAAGGAACAGCCUCCUUUUUAAGGCGUCUUAUCCUUUCGGAGUUGAAAAUCCUCCUUUAUAAAAUGAAGACGGCAAACAUAGGUGCUCCCACAAAGAAUUUUGAAAGUGGCACAAUCGUCUCUUCUGAUCGCAGUAACACAGCGAACUUGCAAUUAAUUAUCCGGUGGAAAGUUGUGGAAACUUGAAUAAGGAUUCAUUGGCUUGUUGUUGGAAUAAUACAGAUCAAUACAGUGACUUUUGCAGCUAGAUUGCCCCAUGGUUUAGCUCCAUUUCUCAAUGGGAGUGGUAACAUGGGUGUUUCAGCUCCAGCUAUUGUUGUUUGCAUUUAUAAUAAUUGUGUUUCUCUAAUAAUGAAGAAUGAGAGCUCUCUCUUCUCUGAGGAUCUAUGUGUUUGACAGGUGCAAAUCGGCUGAGGACGAUGGGCCGGUCUAUUUAGCUUCCCGAAUGUCACAGCUGAUGGACUGAUGCUCCCAGCAGAGCCUCGUCCUCCCUCGCCUAUCCAAACGUUUGUAACGUUCUGUGUAAAGUUCUGUGGGGACAGUGUUGAGUUAAGUUCAUUAGACAACCAGCCCUCACUAGGUUUUGGAGCUUUUGAAACUGUACAGAUAGCUUUAGCUCCACCACUACACUUUCACUUGCAUUGUAAAUAGCUUAGUCAGUGUGUACAGCACAAACAAUAGGGUUAAAUCACCGUUUAAGUUUUACAGUUUUCUCUUGUUUAUACUUAGUCUAGAGCAGGGGUCUCAAACUCGAGGCCCGCGGGCCCGCCACGUCAUUUUAUGUGGCCCGCGA